UUUAAUUUUUGUGCUCAAAAAAAAAAAAAGGACACCAUGAGUUAUUUUUUAGAUGAUAAAAAAGUUCUAUUAAAAAGUUUGAUAUCAACAAACGAAAGCAUAAAGACUGAAAAUGAAAACAUCGAGUUGGAAAAUGAGGCGUUUUUACAUUUACUAACAAAAUACGAAGAAAAAAAAAAAAUUCCGAAUAUAUUAGAAUUUGUUCAUAAUGUAUGUACCAAUUUAUAUGAAAAAGAAGAAGAACUAAAUUAUAACGUUUUACAUAAAGACUUUAUAAAUACAUUAACAAAUUUAAUAAGUAAAAACGUAUUAAAUUAUAAGGACACCCUUAAUGAAAUUUUGACAAAUAAUGAUGAAUGUGUGGAAGCGGAUGAAAAAAAAAAAAAAGUAGCU